GGUGCCCAAAAUUGCACAGCAUAUUCAAGGUGUGGUCUUACCAGCAAUUUAUAAAGAGGCAAGAUUAUAUUUUCAUCUUGAGAAUUUAUGCCUCUAUUUAUACAUGACAAAACCUUACUGGCCUUAGCAAUGGCAGAUUGACAUUGCAUAUUGCUGCCUAAUUUGUUGUCUAUAACAAUUCCCAACUCCUUCUCGUGUGUGG